CCUACGGGAGGCAGCAGUCGAGAAUCAUUCACAAUGGGGGAAACCCUGAUGGUGCGACGCCGCGUGGGGGAAUGAAGGUCUUCGGAUUGUAAACCCCUGUCAUGUGGGAGCAAAUUAAAAAGAUAGUACCACAAGAGGAAGAGACGGCUAACUCUGUGCCAGCAGCCGCGGUAAUACAGAGGUCUCAAGCGUUGUUCGGAAUCACUGGGCGUAAGGCGUGCGUAGGCUGUUUCGGAAGUCAUGUGUGAAAGGCGCGGGCUCAACCCGCGGACGGCACAUGAUACUGCGAGACUAGAGUAAUGGAGGGGGAACCGGAAUUCUCGGUGUAGCAGUGAAAUGCGUAGAUAUCGAGAGGAACACUCGUGGCGAAGGCGGGUUCCUGGACAUUAACUGACGCUGAGGCACGAAGGCCAGGGGAGCGAAAGGGAUUAGAUACCCUUGUAGUC
rnacentral:rRNA from 1 species